rnacentral:lncRNA from 1 species
CUCUUGUUUCCAAUGCCCAAUGGGGUUUGGGCAUCCAUCAUCUCCAUGCCCAAGGAAGCUUGGGUGGCACUUCUUUGUGGCUAAUUUUUAGAGCUUGGUUGCUGCGUAACCAAGAGAAAGAGAGUAAGAAAAGAAGAGAAGAAAGAGAUCAAGAAAAAAAUUAUAGAGUUAAUUGCGAUCCAGACUUCGUUCAGAUUUGCAGGGUG